GUGGGGAUCCGUAGGUUUAUCUCCCCAACCCAUGUGACAUACCUAUUGUUGCUUCGGCGGGAUUGCCCCGGGCGCCUCGUGUGCCCCGGAUCAGGCGCCCGCCUAGGAACUUUAACUCUUGUUUUAUUUUGAAUCUUCUGAGUAGUUUUUACAAAUAAAUAAAAACUUUCAACAACGGAUCUCUUGGUUCUGGCAUCGAUGAAGAACGCAGCGAAAUGCGAUAAGUAAUGUGAAUUGCAGAAUUCAGUGAAUCAUCGAAUCUUUGAACGCACAUUGCGCCCGCCAGUAUUCUGGCGGGCAUGCCUGUCUGAGCGUCAUUUCAACCCUCAUGCCCCUAGGGCGUGGUGUUGGGGAUCGGCCAAAGCCCGCGAGGGACGGCCGGCCCCUAAAUCUAGUGGCGGACCCGUCGUGGCCUCCUCUGCGAAGUAGUGAUAUUCCGCAUCGGAGAGCGACGAGCCCCUGCCGUUAAACCCCCAACUUUCCAAGGUUGACCUCAGAUCAGGUAGGAAUACCCGCUGAACUUAAGCAUAUCAAUAAGCGGAGGAA
rnacentral:rRNA from 1 species